UACGUAGGGUGCGAGCGUUGUCCGGAAUUAUUGGGCGUAAAGAGCUCGUAGGCGGCUUGUCGCGUCGGAUGUGAAAGCCCGGGGCUUAACUCCGGGUCUGCAUUCGAUACGGGCAGGCUAGAGUUCGGUAGGGGAGAUCGGAAUUCCUGGUGUAGCGGUGAAAUGCGCAGAUAUCAGGAGGAACACCGGUGGCGAAGGCGGUUCUCUGGGCCUGUACUGACGCUGAGGAGCGAAAGCGUGGGGAGCGAACAGG
rnacentral:rRNA from 1 species